rnacentral:tRNA from 2 species
GUCCCCUUCGUCUAGCGGUCAGGACAUCGCUCUUUCACGGCGGCAACAGGGGUUCAAAUCCCCUAGGGGACG